CUCUGCUUCUAUCUCUCUCCAAUUGCCCUCCCUGGCCUGCGGCCGCCCGGUCCUCCUUCCCAGCCCAGUGCAGCCAGGCACCCGGGUUCGGCUUGCUCAGGUCUCUGUCCGGGACUGGGAAGCCACGGAGGGCCGGGAAAGUGGCACACUCCUGGAGCUCAAGCUUCCUACUCUCUCAUCGCUGAAUAACUACCGGGCAGGACUGGGUGGAACAGACAGCAUAUUUAGGUCAUUGAUGGGCUGCUGGGUGGAUGGAGCUGGAAAGUGAUGGGCACUGCUUUCUGGGGCUGCCCAGGUUCCUUCCGAGGGCUCGCUUUUCCUGGGCAGAGCGGGAAAGAGGAGGGGCAGGCCGGUCGCGAAACGCAAAUAGUCGAGAAUAGCGAUCCGGGGAGAAGCAGGUGUCUGUGGGGCCCAAGAGAAGUACCAUCUCGUUAAAAAUUCAGAUUGAACUAUCUUACAAAUGGCUCCCAGAAGAUCCACUCCCUGUGGGAACACAGCAGUUGUGGAAGUGAAGACAGGACUGGACCCAGAAUAAGGGUUCAAAUAUGUGGGGAAAUCUGACCUCUAAAUUCUUAUAAGUCAGAGAGUGACUGAACAACAGCAGUGAGACAUCGAAGAGUUUUAAUAUCUGCUGUAAACCUUGGCACAGAUCAUUUACUUCUCUAAGACUGAAUCCAAAAAGCACAAUGGAAUACUAUAAUAAGCUGAGACAGCAUGGUGAAUUCCAGACAAGCCUGAGCAUUCCCUAUAGCCAGAGAAGGAGGCCCAACACCUAACAUAGCCUUGGAUGCAGAACUGAUAGAACUUGGGGAAAGUGAUGAAGUAGUUGACCUCACCUGUGAAUCUCUAGCACCUGUAGUGAUUGACCUAACUCACCGUGACUCUGUAGUGAUUAUUGAACAAAGGAGGAGGCCAAGAGCAAACACAAGGCCACUCCAAGACCACACUGGCAGUUGUGUGGUGAACAAUGAUGAGGAGGGAGUGAAAAGGGACAGAGAUGUAUGUAUAACCAACAGUGCCCACCAUAAUUCCCUGCAAAAAAAUUUUUUUUGUCAUAUACUACCUGGUUAUAUUCAGUGUCAAGUUUGCAUGGAUGGAUGCUCAGAGAUUGAACUUAGUAUACAACACAUCUACUCUAUAGAAUGUGGCCACAUCUGUAGUCAGUGCUUCUGCACUUCCUUUACACAUACUAACACUGCCCAGUUUGUUUGAAAAAAAUCAGCCUCCAUCAGUAUCACUGCAGUUAUAUAUGAUGUAUGCCUUAUUGCUCAAGACAGAUCCUGUGGCUGGAUUUUUCCAUGUCUUUGUGCAGGAACUAUGGGUUGUUGGCAUCCAAUGCUCUGAGCUUAAAAAUACUGAUUUUUAAAAUUGCUAUCUGCAGUAUAUAAGAAACUCUUUGAUUUCUCAUAUGCUCUGAGACUGCUUUUUGUUUCCUUUGGUUUUAUGCUUCAGCUCUGGACUUCAGUUGCCAGAGUGUGCCAGAUACUGGGGUCGUCCUUAAAGCAACUUUCCCUUUCUUAUAGUCAUCAAUUUUUAGUUGGCCACAUGUGGACAUUCUGGACCACAUAAAUAAAGACAACACCCUAGAGAUGGUGAAGUAAGUUGUAAACUAAAAUCCUAAGCCCCCUAAUUGACUGAAUGGAACCCCUCUUGACCAAAGUGACCCCAGAAAAACCUUAAAACUGAGUUCCUGGCCAUGACGGGAUGGGAGGUCAGACACGCUUCAUUAUAUCUCCGUCUCUUUUAUGGUUUAGACACAACAACUGACCAGCAUUAAUGUCAAAAUAAAGAUCAUAAGGCUGACAGAAUAGACCCUUUGUGGCAAUAACAAAUUAUUCGUAAGAUCUAAGGUCAUGCCAGGCAAGUGUUAUGUCAUGCACUCCUACACUUAAAGAAUAAACUAUGUUCUAACUGCC
rnacentral:lncRNA from 1 species